CUCGGAGUUUGAUCCUGGCUCAGGAUGAACGCUAGCGGCAGGCUUAACACAUGCAAGUCGAGGGGUAUUGGUUUUCGGACCAAGAGACCGGCGCACGGAUGCGUAACGCGUAUGCAAUCUACCUUUCGACAGAGGGAUAGCCCAGAGAAAUUUGGAUUAAUACCUCAUAGUAUGCAGAGUUGGCAUCGAACACUGCAUUAAAGUCACAACGGUGAAAGAUGAGCAUGCGU
rnacentral:rRNA from 1 species